GGUAGUCCACGCCCUAAACGAUGUCAACUAGUUGUUGGGGAUUCAUUUCCUUAGUAACGUAGCUAACGCGUGAAGUUGACCGCCUGGGGAGUACGGUCGCAAGAUUAAAACAUAAAGGAAUUGACGGGGACCCGCACAAGCGGUGGAGCGUGUUGUUUAAUUCGACGCAACGCGAAACACCUCACCCAGAUUUGACAUGUCCGUGCAAGCUGGUGAAAGCCAGUCGCCUUCGAGGGUCGGACACAGAUGCUGCGUGGCUGUCGUCAGCUCGUGCCGUGAGGUGUUGGGUUAAG
rnacentral:rRNA from 1 species